GACGAACGCUGGCGGCGUGCUUAACACAUGCAAGUCGAACGGAAAGGCCCUGCUUUUGUGGGGUGCUCGAGUGGCGAACGGGUGAGUAACACGUGAGUAACCUGCCCUUGACUUUGGGAUAACUUCAGGAAACUGGGGCUAAUACCGGAUAGGAGCUCCUGCUGCAUGGUGGGGGUUGGAAAGUUUCGGCGGUUGGGGAUGGACUCGCGGCUUAUCAGCUUGUUGGUGGGGUAGUGGCUUACCAAGGCUUUGACGGGUAGCCGGCCUGAGAGGGUGACCGGCCACAUUGGGACUGAGAUACGGCCCAGACUCCUACGGGAGGCAGCAGUGGGGAAUAUUGCACAAUGGGCGGAAGCCUGAUGCAGCAACGCCGCGUGCGGGAUGACGGCCUUCGGGUUGUAAACCGCUUUCGCCUGUGACGAAGCGUGAGUGACGGUAAUGGGUAAAGAAGCACCGGCUAACUACGUGCCAGCAGCCGCGGUGAUACGUAGGGUGCGAGCGUUGUCCGGAUUUAUUGGGCGUAAAGGGCUCGUAGGUGGUUGAUCGCGUCGGAAGUGUAAUCUUGGGGCUUAACCCUGAGCGUGCUUUCGAUACGGGUUGACUUGAGGAAGGUAGGGGAGAAUGGAAUUCCUGGUGGAGCGGUGGAAUGCGCAGAUAUCAGGAGGAACACCAGUGGCGAAGGCGGUUCUCUGGGCCUUUCCUGACGCUGAGGAGCGAAAGCGUGGGGAGCGAACAGGCUUAGAUACCCUGGUAGUCCACGCUGUAAACGGUGGGUACUAGGUGUGGGGUCCAUUCCACGGGUUCCGUGCCGUAGCUAACGCUUUAAGUACCCCGCCUGGGGAGUACGGCCGCAAGGCUAAAACUCAAAGGAAUUGACGGGGCCCCGCACAAGCGGCGGAGCAUGCGGAUUAAUUCGAUGCAACGCGUAGAACCUUACCUGGGUUUGACAUGGAUCGGGAGCGCUCAGAGAUGGAUGUGCCUCUUUUGGGGUCGGUUCACAGGUGGUGCAUGGCUGUCGUCAGCUCGUGUCGUGAGAUGUUGGGUUAAGUCCCGCAACGAGCGCAACCCUUGUUCACUGUUGCCAGCACGUUAUGGUGGGGACUCAGUGGAGACCGCCGGGGUCAACUCGGAGGAAGGUGGGGAUGACGUCAAGUCAUCAUGCCCCUUAUGUCCAGGGCUUCACGCAUGCUACAAUGGCUGGUACAGAGAGUGGCGAGCCUGUGAGGGUGAGCGAAUCUCGGAAAGCCGGUCUCAGUUCGGAUUGGGGUCUGCAACUCGACCUCAUGAAGUCGGAGUCGCUAGUAAUCGCAGAUCAGCAACGCUGCGGUGAAUACGUUCCCGGGGCU
rnacentral:rRNA from 1 species